rnacentral:rRNA from 1 species
GAUGAACGCUGGCGGCGUGCCUAAUACAUGCAAGUCGAGCGAACAGACGAGGAGCUUGCUCCUCUGACGUUAGCGGCGGACGGGUGAGUAACACGUGGAUAACCUACCUAUAAGACUGGGAUAACUUCGGGAAACCGGAGCUAAUACCGUAUAACAUGUUGAACCGCAUGGUUCGACAGUGAAAGACGGUCUUGCUGUCACUUAUAGAUGGAUCCGCGCCGCAUUAGCUAGUUGGUAAGGUAACGGCUUACCAAGGCAACGAUGCGUAGCCGACCUGAGAGGGUGAUCGGCCACACUGGAACCGAGACACGGUCCAGACUCCUACGGGAGGCAGCAGUAGGGAAUCUUCCGCAAUGGGCGAAAGCCUGACGGAGCAACGCCGCGUGAGUGAAGAAGGUCUUCGGAUCGUAAAACUCUGUUAUUAGGGAAGAACAAAUGUGUAAGUAACUAUGCACGUCUUGACGGUACCUAAUCAGAAAGCCACGGCUAACUACGUG